rnacentral:rRNA from 1 species
GAUGAACGCUGGCGGCGUGCCUAAUACAUGCAAGUCGAACGCAUAGCGAAAGGUGCUUGCACCUUUCAAGUGAGUGGCGAACGGGUGAGUAACACGUGGACAACCUGCCUCAAGGCUGGGGAUAACAUUUGGAAACAGAUGCUAAUACCGAAUAAAACUUAGUGUCGCAUGACACAAAGUUAAAAGGCGCUUCGGCGUCACCUAGAGAUGGAUCCGCGGUGCAUUAGUUAGUUGGUGGGGUAAAGGCCUACCAAGACAAUGAUGCAUAGCCGAGUUGAGAGACUGAUCGGCCACAUUGGGACUGAGACACGGCCCAAACUCCUACGGGAGGCUGCAGUAGGGAAUCUUCCACAAUGGGCGAAAGCCUGAUGGAGCAACGCCGCGUGUGUGAUGAAGGCUUUCGGUUCGUAAAGCACUGUUGUAUGGGAAGAACAGCUAGAAUAGGAAAUGAUUUUAGUUUGACGGUACCAUACCAGAAAGGGACGGCUAAAUACGUG